AGAUUGUAGGCUGAAACUCGCCUAUAUGAAGUCGGAAUUGCUAGUAAUCGCAGAUCAGCAUGCUGCGGUGAAUACGUUCCCGGGCCUUGUACACACCGCCCGUCACACCAUGAGAGUCGAUAACACCCGAAGCCUGUAGUCUAACCAUAAGGAGGACGCAGUCGAAGGUGGGAUUGAUAAUUAGGGUGAAGUCGUAACAAGGUACC
rnacentral:rRNA from 1 species